GGAUGCGAUCAUACCAGCACUAACGCACUGGACUCCAUCAGAACUCCGAAGUUAAGUGUGCUUGGGCGAGAGUAGUACUUGGAUGGGUGACCCCGGGGAAGUCCUUGUGGUUCAUCCC